rnacentral:rRNA from 1 species
CCUACGGGAGACAGCAGUAGGGAAUCUUUCACAAUGGGCGAAAGCCUGAUGGAGCAACGCCGCGUGCAGGAUGAAGGCCUUCGGGUUGUAAACUGCUUUUAUAAGCGAGAAAUAUGAUGGUAACUUAUGAAUAAGGAUCGGCUAACUACGGGCCAGCAGCCGCGGUCAUACGUAGGAUACGAGCAUUAUCCGGAGUGACUGGGUGUAAAGAGUUGCGUAGGUGGCAUAAUAAGUAGCUAGUGAAAUCUGGUGGCUCAACCAUUCAGACUAUUAGCUAAACUGUUAAGCUCGAGACCGUUAGGGGUAACUGGAAUUUCUAGUGUAGGAGUGAAAUCCGUAGAUAUUAGAAGGAACACCAAUAGCGUAGGCAGGUUGCUGGGACGGUUCUGACACUAAGGCACGAAAGCGUAGGGAGCAAACGGGAUUAGAUACCCUGGUAGUC